UACGUAGGGUCCGAGCGUUGUCCGGAAUUAUUGGGCGUAAAGGGCUCGUAGGCGGUUCGUCACGUCGGGAGUGAAAACUCGGGGCUUAACCCCGAGCCUGCUUCCGAUACGGGCAGACUAGAGUUCGGCAGGGGAGACGUGGAAUUCCUGGUGUAGCGGUGAAAUGCGCAGAUAUCAGGAGGAACACCGGUGGCGAAGGCGGGUCUC
rnacentral:rRNA from 1 species